rnacentral:rRNA from 1 species
AUGAACGCUGGCUACAGGCUUAACACAUGCAAGUCGAGGGGAAGCGACGGGGAAGCUUGCUUCCCCGGGCGUCGACCGGCGCACGGGUGAGUAACGCGUAUCCAACCUGCCUCUGACUGAGGGAUAACCCGUCGAAAGUCGGCCUAAUACCUCAUGGUAUCGUCUGCGGGCAUCCAACGACGAUUAAAGAUUUCAUCGGUCAGGGAUGGGGAUGCGUCUGAUUAGCUUGUUGGCGGGGUAACGGCCCACCAAGGCUACGAUCAGUAGGGGUUCUGAGAGGAAGGUCCCCCACAUUGGAACUGAGACACGGUCCAAACUCCUACGGGAGGCAGCAGUGAGGAAUAUUGGUCAAUGGGCGAGAGCCUGAACCAGCCAAGUAGCGUGCAGGAAGACGGCCCUAUGGGUUGUAAACUGCUUUUAUGCGGGGAUAAAGUGAGGGACGUGUCCCUCAUUGCAGGUACCGCAUGAAUAAGGACCGGCUAAUUCCGUG